CUUUUUAAAAUAUUGCAGAAAAAUAAACUCAUAGCCAAAAGUUUAUAUGUGUUAUCAUUCACUAUUUAACCAAAAUUAUUAGUAUUUCUCUGAACUAGAUCUUCUGUAGAGUAUAUCAGGGCACCAUAUUCUGAAACCAGUGCUUUUGUAGAAAGUAUCAUCCAAGGUACUGAUUUGAUCAUUAAAAAUAUGGAGAUUUAAUCAGGACACAAAUACCCGAAGAAAAGGAACUAUUGGUGCCAAAAUACUUGUCAUUUAUGUGAAUAGAAGAAAUAGCCACAUACUUGCUCUUUAUUUUCUAGGAUUAAAAAUGCAGAUUGUUUGAAUGAUUAUUUUCACUGUUAAAAUGUAGUUUUAAAAAUUUCCCUUGGUAUAUAAUUCUCAAUUUCCUGGUCUAAUAAUUCUGUUCUAACAUUCUAUGGCAUUGAUCAUAUUUUGUUAAUUCUAUCGGCCUGCCUGUGGUGAGAGCAAGGAGCUGUGCUUAGUUAAUAUUCUCACAAGUCUGAACUUCUAAACAAGGCACGUUUUACAUGU
rnacentral:lncRNA from 1 species